rnacentral:rRNA from 1 species
UACGUAGGCAGCAAGCGUUGUUCGGAUUUACUGGGCGUAAAGGGUGCGUAGGCGGCUAUUUAAGUUUGGUGUGAAAUCUCCCGGCUCAACCGGGAGGGUGCGCCGAAUACUGAGUGGCUAGAGUGCGGGAGAGGAAAGUGGAAUUCCUGGUGUAGCGGUGAAAUGCGUAGAUAUCAGGAGGAACACCGGUGGUGUAAACGGCUUUCUGGACCGUAACUGACGCUGAGGCACGAAAGCGUGGGGAGCAAACAGG